UAAAAGAUAGGCUAAACUAAGCCGAAGAGCUCAUAACUCUUAGAUGACUGCAAAGUCUUUUUUAA
rnacentral:tRNA from 1 species